UCAACUUGAGUGUGAGCACGCUAGGGUUUGGGCCUGGAGAAAAUAUUAAGUAUUA
rnacentral:tRNA from 1 species